GUCCACGCCGUAAACGAUGAUAGCUAGCCGUCGGAAUGCAUGCAUUUCGGUGGCGCAGUUAACGCAUUAAGCUAUCCGCCUGGGGAGUACGGCCGCAAGGUUAAAACUCAAAGAAAUUGACGGGGGCCUGCACAAGCGGUGGAGCAUGUGGUUUAAUUCGAAGCAACGCGCAGAACCUUACCAGCUCUUGACAUCCCGUGUUACAUGCGGAGACGCAUGGUUCCCUUCGGGGACGCGGUGACA
rnacentral:rRNA from 1 species